rnacentral:rRNA from 1 species
GAUGAACGCUGGCGGCGUGCCUAAUACAUGCAAGUCGAGCGAACAGACGAGGAGCUUGCUCCUCUGACGUUAGCGGCGGACGGGUGAGUAACACGUGGAUAACCUACCUAUAAGACUGGGAUAACUUCGGGAAACCGGAGCUAAUACCGGAUAAUAUAUUGAACCGCAUGGUUCAAUAGUGAAAGACGGUUUUGCUGUCACUUAUAGAUGGAUCCGCGCCGCAUUAGCUAGUUGGUAAGGUAACGGCUUACCAAGGCAACGAUGCGUAGCCGACCUGAGAGAGUAAUCGGCCACACUGGAACUGAGACACGGUACAGACUCGUACGGGAGUCAGCAGUAGGGAAUCUUCCGCAAUGGGCGAAAGCCUGACAGAGCAACGCCGCGUGAGUGAUGAAGGUCUUCGGAUCGUAAAACUCUGUUAUUAGGGAAGAACACAUGUGUAAGUAACUAUGCACGUCUUGACGGUACCUGAUCAGAAAGCCACGGAUAACUCCGAG